rnacentral:rRNA from 1 species
UACAGAGGGGGCAAGCGUUAUUCGGAAUUAUUGGGCGUAAAGGGCGCGUAGGCGGCUUUGCAAGUGGCGGGUGAAAUCCCUCGGCUUAACCGAGGAACUGCCUGUCAAACUGCAUGGCUCGAGACCGGGAGAGGUGAGUGGAAUUCCCAGUGUAGCGGUGAAAUGCGUAGAUAUCGGGAGGAACACCAGUGGCGAAGGCGAGUCCCUGGACAAUUCCUGACGCUGAGGCACGAAAGCUAGGGGAGCAAACAGG